rnacentral:lncRNA from 1 species
GCUCUGGAAGUGAGCAGUCAUGACCUCUGAGAGGGUGUUUGUGUUUGUUGAUGAAGAGGAGCUGUUCAGCGUGAUGAAGGAUGCUGACUGUCUCUACUGCAGGAUUCCUGUCACUGCCUCCAAACAGCACCUCAAAAAGAGACAUCUCAGAUUCGCUAUAUAUUAUAAAGACGCCGGCAUUGGGAGGUUUUCUAUCCCCUGUUACUGCUCUGAUGGAGGCCAUGGCAGGAGCCACUGGCACUGCCCGAUGUGCUCGAAAAUAUUGCACAGGACACAGAACUACAAAAUCCACAUUACCAACCACGGUGUUGAGAUGACAGACAAAUCCUCAGCUGAGCUUCAGCCUACAACAGUCCUGUUAGAGAGCCUGCAAACACACAGCGAAGACAAGACACCGGGCAGCAAGGCAGCGUGCCAGAAGUGUGGCAUCCUCUUUACCACCACAUCAAAUUUGAGACGGCAUGAGAGACUACAGCACGGCCAAGACCAGCAGCCCAUUUUAUGCGUAGAUGCCAAAAAUGCCAUCUAUGUUACACCCAAAUAUCUGCACGGGCCGAGAGUGCCCAUUCAUAUCCGCAAAUCCUUCACCUUGCAGAUUCUGCUGUGUGAGCUGGAGGAAUGCUGGGAUUUCAUGAAAGCGCAGGCCCAGAGCGGGAAUCCUGGGAAGGAAUGCCGUCACCUCGUGAGAACGAAUCACGCGCAGCACUACGUCCCUCCUCCACCUCUGAGCGUCCGCUCUCUGGAGGAGAUGAGAGACAAACACCUCCUGUCCGCAUCAGAGAAACACGAGUGCCAGGAGAUGAACUCCAGGGCGUGUGUACAGGGGGUGGACUGUGUCUACCCUGUUUUUGGGGCGAGCAUGACCUUCCAGAGAGAUGCGUCUUCUUCUCUGUGUACACUGACCUUGAGGACAAAUGGUGUCAGUUUGGGAGGACACGCGUCUCGUUCGACAGCAAGUCUGGCAGCUGGAAGUGUCUGUGUAAGCACAAAAGAAGCCGCUGCGUCCACAAGUGUUUGUGUAUGUGGUGGCUGUUUCAGGAGCGUCCCGAACUGUUGCAGGAUGCCCUAGAUGUCCACCCGGAAAGAGCUUUAAAUGACGACCUCUGCUAGACUCAGCAUCCGUCAGAACUUCUCUCGUUUCCUGUCUUUACUCAAUAAAAACACUGGACGUAACCUUUACUCUGGCUUGUAAUUUUACAGAAACUUGUGUGCUGUGAUAUGUUUGCAGUGUUAGCAUUACAAGUAACGCUAGUUAUGAAAUCAGAUUACUUUUUUUAAGUAACUUGUCAAUAACACAUUACUUUUACAUUUACGAUGAAGUAUUGAAGCUACUUUUUCUCAUUUAAGUCAGUGACGGCUCUCCUGUCCCCGUGUUCAGAGAAACUGCCUUCCUUCAGCCUGAAGCUUAUUAAUUAUUAAUUAAAUCAGCAAACCCCGCCCAGGUGACAGAAAGUAACGGAAGAGUAAUGUAAUGUACUUCUGAUAAAAAGUAACGCAGCUAGUUAUUUUUUAUGGAAAAACGCAGUAUUGUAAUGAUUACUUAUAAAAGUUAAUUUCCACAACAUUGUAUGUUCGUGACAUUGCCGCACUAAUUUUAAAAAAGUUGGAUUUGUGGUGAAGAUUUCGUGAAAGAUGUCAUGAGAUUUAUUCGUGGAUUAAACCCUAUUGAGGUUCAAAUCUAGUUAUACACAAUUGAAAAGCAAAAAUGUGUGUUCUUAUGCUUUUAAAGCAAAAUGUGAUGCAUAUUAAGUCCCGUAACGAGGAUGAUAAACUGCAAACCUUCCUCUGUGGGGAAGUUUCAGUGGAGGCUUUGUAUUGCUCUGUAAAUAGUGAGAGUGAUGUGAUCUAACAGAUCGAACAACACAAAACCCAAAGACAUGCACAGAGUACUGAUGCACUGAUGUUUUGUGACUAUAAAUUCCCUCAUGGCUUUGCUGGGACUGGUUUAAUCAGAAUUUAACAAAGUUCACAUGACAUAAGUAUUUAGAUUUUUUCAUUUUUUUAAGUGCAUCUUUAUCUAUGUUUGAGCAGCAAAGUCUGCAUUAUAUAAUAAUAAAGAAAUGAAAGAAAUACUGGCUUAUAGGAUGCCCAAGUGGUAUGCAUGGCAUUAUUCAGAAGUCAGAAAGAGCUUUAUCAGCAAUCUGACCCGGCCACAGGAGCUUCCAGUGCAGAAGAAAGUACAGACAUAGCAAUUAUAACACUAAAAUAUAAGAAAAACUGAAAAUUAAAUAAUGCUCUACAUACAGAAGUUGAAAUAUAGAGAAAUAACAUAGUUGUUUAAAUGCGUUGUUUUCCAGUUCACGUCCACAUAAAUGUUCAGAUCAGUUCAAAGGCAGAACGGAUCAGAUAAAAGAAAACUGAUGUCAAAGCAGCUUUGAUUCUUGUUCAGCUAAUGAUAAUUUUAAAAUUGACAUUUCCAUUCCCAGAUAACAAUCACUUGAUUAAAACUACUAGAAAUUAUGCCAAAGCAUCAGCUGAAUGUGGACAGUGGAGGUUAUUUAUUUGUUUUUGAUUCGUUUGCUCCAACGCCUCGCUCCAGUGUCAUUAUUAAAAGAUAUUGAAAUCCAUGUUGUAUAAAAUGACCUCUACAGCAGAGGUGUGUUAUACACACUGUCACACGUGAACUGGUGUAAAUGCAACACUUUCAAACAUCAAAGGAUUGUGCACUCCGGAUGCGCGCAUGCGCAGAUCACACUCCUCCCGAGCAAGACCAGCACUGGUGAGAAUAAAUUCAUGAUCUGAUCGCCUUCACAUUACACCCAAUUCAUGACAAUCAUGCCAUCAAUGCGCGAUCGAUAUAAACAGAUUUUACUUUGCAUGCAUUUCUGGACACUUAUGAUGACGCGCGUUCCAUCGUGUUUUUCCUUCAUGAAUUUAUUAAAUAGCCCUUAUAAUUAGCAAUUAAGCUGAGGUUGUCUUGAAAUUUCAACAUUUGUUUUAAUAUCGAUCAUCAUAACAGAGCGCAUCUGUCUUUUCCUUCCAAAUGCAUCGGAAUCGGAUGUUCCUCAUAAAGCAGUCUUUCAGGCAAGAGCGGAAUGAAAUAAUGAAUGGUUCGCCUACUUUACAGUUUACUGCACAGGAACAUGGACUUCCGCCAUUUUGCACUGGUAAAGAUUAUUUUGGGAAGAGGAGAGGAUGCGCUGGAACUGAUGCUCUUUGACAUGGAAUGGAAGAUUCACUCACAUCACCUCCAUCAUCAGUUAUGCAUAAUCAUCAUCAUCAUCAUCAUCAUCAUCAUCAUCACCACCAUUGGUUUAAGGGAUGAGCAUCAUCACCAUGAGUUUAUGGAUUAUGCAUCACCAUCACUUAAAAUUGUUCAUCACUAUCAGAUGAUAGAUUCAACAUUAACAUCAUUCUCCACUAUCCUGUUUCUCUUUCAUUUUUCUUUGUAAAAGGAAUGACAGAAAUGAUCUUCCUAAGUGGCUAAUUGUCUUCCCCUUAAAAUGAACUCUGCUGUUACCUUUAUUUAUUUCAAACAUCCACAUUCUGCUUCUGAAGGAUGUUCAGUGUUGCAUAUGAACAGUGAAAUGACUUCUAUUCUAUCACGAUGUCCUCAAUUCUCUGUUGUUAGUGGUAUUGAGCAGAGUCUUGCUAUGAGUGCCAAAGCAGACCUGGGUGUCCUGCCACAUGAUGCAGACGUCCCGUCCGAAAGCAGCGUCUCUCACGCUCCCAGUGACGGCAGAGUCUUGCUAUGAGUGCCAAAGCAGACCUGGGUGUCCUGCCACAUGAUGCAGACGUCCGUCCGAAAGCAGCGUCUCUCACGCUCCCAGUGACGGUUCUGCACAGCGGCUCAAACCCCAGGAAACCACCACCAUCAUCUUUCCAGGUGCUUACAGUUGAAUAGAAAUCAGCAUAGAAUGUAAAUGUAUUAUAUACUGAAUUUCCCACAUUGUUUUCUCUUUUAAACUAAAAGGUAAACACAUUUGGCUUGCUGUCCUUGGUGCAGUGAUAGGGCUCGAGACUCGAUCAUCUGUUUAUAUUUUCUUGCCGUUUGACUGACAGGAUUAAAUGAACACACUCCUCCUGAGCGAUUGUUUACUCCAUUUCUCCAUACUUAGAGGUGUUAAAUAUUGUGGAAACAAAGUUUUUAUUUUUCCAAAGCUUCUGCUCAUCCAUUGCCAAAAGUGGAGCUGCCUCCAAAUGCAAUCAAGGCGAUUAAAGGCAGUGAACUGGAGGCCGCAUCACUUCCUGCUCAGGUUGGAGGGACGAUUGUGCAUGUUCUGGGCUGGAAGGAGGGAAUGGCCAUCCUCCCUGGAAGCAAUCUGAAG